CGGACCAAGGAGUCUAACAUGUCUGCGAGUGUUUGGGUGUCAAACCCGAGCGCGCAAUGAAAGUGAAUGCAGGUGGGAGGCGCGAGCCGCACCAUCGACCGAUCUGGAUCUUUAGUGAUGGAUUUGAGUAAGAGCAUAUAUGUUGGGACCCGAAAGAUGGUGAACUAUGCCUGAAUAGGGCGAAGCCAGAGGAAACUCUGGUGGAGGCUCGUAGCGAUUCUGACGUGCAAAUCGAUCGUCAAAU
rnacentral:rRNA from 1 species